rnacentral:tRNA from 1 species
GUCAGGAUGGCUGAGGGGUUUAGUGCACUGAGUUCAGGUCGCAGUCUCCCCUGGAGGCGUGGGUUCGAAUCCCACUUCUGAAA